rnacentral:rRNA from 1 species
ACUUAAAUUGAAGAGUUUGAUCAUGGCUCAGAUUGAACGCUGGCGGCAGGCCUAACACAUGCAAGUCGAGCGGUAGCACAGAGAGCUUGCUCUCGGGUGACGAGCGGCGGACGGGUGAGUAAUGUCUGGGAAACUGCCUGAUGGAGGGGGAUAACUACUGGAAACGGUAGCUAAUACCGCAUAACGUCGCAAGACCAAAGUGGGGGACCUUCGGGCCUCAUGCCAUCAGAUGUGCCCAGAUGGGAUUAGCUAGUAGGUGGGGUAAUGGCUCACCUAGGCGACGAUCCCUAGCUGGUCUGAGAGGAUGACCAGCCACACUGGAACUGAGACACGGUCCAGACUCCUACGGGAGGCAGCAGUGGGGAAUAUUGCACAAUGGGCGCAAGCCUGAUGCAGCCAUGCCGCGUGUAUGAAGAAGGCCUUCGGGUUGUAAAGUACUUUCAGCGAGGAGGAAGGCAUUAAGGUUAAUAACCUUGGUGAUUGACGUUACUCGCAGAAGAAGCACCGGCUAACUCCGUGCCAGCAGCCGCGGUAAUACGGAGGGUGCAAGCGUUAAUCGGAAUUACUGGGCGUAAAGCGCACGCAGGCGGUCUGUCAAGUCGGAUGUGAAAUCCCCGGGCUCAACCUGGGAACUGCAUUCGAAACUGGCAGGCUAGAGUCUUGUAGAGGGGGGUAGAAUUCCAGGUGUAGCGGUGAAAUGCGUAGAGAUCUGGAGGAAUACCGGUGGCGAAGGCGGCCCCCUGGACAAAGACUGACGCUCAGGUGCGAAAGCGUGGGGAGCAAACAGGAUUAGAUACCCUGGUAGUCCACGCCGUAAACGAUGUCGACUUGGAGGUUGUGCCCUUGAGGCGUGGCUUCCGGAGCUAACGCGUUAAGUCGACCGCCUGGGGAGUACGGCCGCAAGGUUAAAACUCAAAUGAAUUGACGGGGGCCCGCACAAGCGGUGGAGCAUGUGGUUUAAUUCGAUGCAACGCGAAGAACCUUACCUACUCUUGACAUCCAGAGAACUUAGCAGAGAUGCUUUGGUGCCUUCGGGAACUCUGAGACAGGUGCUGCAUGGCUGUCGUCAGCUCGUGUUGUGAAAUGUUGGGUUAAGUCCCGCAACGAGCGCAACCCUUAUCCUUUGUUGCCAGCGGUCCGGCCGGGAACUCAAAGGAGACUGCCAGUGAUAAACUGGAGGAAGGUGGGGAUGACGUCAAGUCAUCAUGGCCCUUACGAGUAGGGCUACACACGUGCUACAAUGGCAUAUACAAAGAGAAGCGACCUCGCGAGAGCAAGCGGACCUCAUAAAGUAUGUCGUAGUCCGGAUUGGAGUCUGCAACUCGACUCCAUGAAGUCGGAAUCGCUAGUAAUCGUAGAUCAGAAUGCUACGGUGAAUACGUUCCCGGGCCUUGUACACACCGCCCGUCACACCAUGGGAGUGGGUUGCAAAAGAAGUAGGUAGCUUAACCUUCGGGAGGGCGCUUACCACUUUGUGAUUCAUGACUGGGGUGAAGUCGUAACAAGGUAACCGUAGGGGAACCUGCGGUUGGAUCACCUCCUUACCUUAAAGAA